UCCAGCCUGGGUGACAGCAAGACUCCAUCUCAAAAAAUAAUAAUAAUAAAAUAAAUAAAGCUUCAGUCAGAAUAAUUCAAUCUGUACAGGGUAAUAUUCUCAUUGUCUUUAUUACAAAUGGUGAGUGAUUAGCAUGAGACCUAUGACUUAAUGUAAGCCCCGUGAGAGCAGGGACCUCAUGCCUUGUGCUAGCCUGAGAUAUGGAAGCUGCUCAACAUACAUUUAGUUUUCUAAUUUUUAUUUUGAAUUAUAGUUAAUUCCUGAACAGCAUGGGUUUGAACUGUGUGGUCCACUUACAUGGAAAUUUUCUUCCACCUCUUCUGCCCCUGAGACACCAAGACCAACCACUCCCUUCGUCUUCCUCCUCAGCCCACUCAGCGUGAAGACCAUGAGGAUAAAGAGCUUUACGAUGAUCCACUUCCACUAAAUGAAUUGGAAAUAUAGUUUUUUUCCUUAUGAUGUUUUUAAUAACAUCUGAGUCUCAUCACCUUCCAUAAAUUUACUGAUUUGCUAAAUUAUGAUAUGAAUAUGAAGGAGUCUCAUUCUUGCAUUCCCCUAUGAAAAACAGAUAGGAAACUAGAGUACAAUAUUUGUAUCUAGCUCAUUUUGCCUUUUCCUUUACAAUAUACCAUCAAAAUACUGUUUUCCAAA